rnacentral:tRNA from 1 species
AAAUAAAUAACUAAAAACAAGUAUGUUAUUUACAAUAACAGGAUGGUAUAACUUACUUUUAUUUA